GGAUAUUGGAAGUUGUUCCAGCUGUUUUUUUUGUCCCCCUGUGGUGGCUGCAUUUCUCUGUUUAGUGGUAGGUUAUACUUUGAUCGAUUGACAUAGUGCACGCUGAUCCACCAAGACUGCCAGAUAUCUGAGGACAGAAGAACAACCAUAGCACAAGAGAAGAAAACAUUCUGCAAAGCCAGAGCUGCAAAUGCUGCAAUAAUGGUGCCCACACAUGUCUGCCCGACAUCUAGCAAAACAUUUCGUGACCGUAUAGGCCUUACCGGCCACAUUCGGACACAUCGUGGACAGCCCACAACCUGUUAGAUGUCAAGGUCCUCUUUGAACACAAUGGACAAACAUCAUCAAGUUAUACUUUGCAUUUAAGAUAUGAUGGAAUACAGUGUAUGAAGAUUAAAAGAACAGCUACAACAAAUGAUCCUGAUACCCAAGGUUAAGGCAAUAAAGCACAAUCACAAAAGGACCACAUCAAUUGACAAGUUUGCCUAACUGUCUGGCCCAAAUGCCUGGGGGAACAGCCAGGUCUCCAAAAUCUUGAGAAAGAUUAACAAGGUCAGGACCUUCCAGAU